CAAUUUGUGGAUCUAAAUAUUUUAAAGCAGAACAAAUUAGGAUGUGAACAAAUGAAAUAAAUGCAUUCCAAACGAACUCAUUUAAGAACAUGGAAGAAGACUGAUGAUCGGAGAUAACAAUAACAUCCAUGACGAUAAUGAGAGGACGCCGCCGGCCCAUUAACCGCAUCAAACCGUAAUUUUUUGUCGGGAAGCUUGUUGACGAAGCCAUUCAGUCAGAAAUGCAUUUAAUCGCUGAAGCACUUGUCGUUGAGGCCACUGACUCCGAAUUUCGGUAAUAAAUUUUAAUAAUUUCGACUCGUUGUUAGCUCGUAUAUCUGUCUAUUAUGAAAUGGCAAACCUUACUGAAGAGAAAUAUCGAAAGGGGGCAAAAUGUGGCGUUGCAUGCUGUCUUGUAACUGCUGGCUUUGAAAGAAUCGAAAGAGAUUGUUUCCAAGAUGUCUUUCAUCGUUCUGGCAGUAAAUGAAAAAAAAUGGAUGGUAUCAAUUCCCACGUAUCAAAAUAUAACGGUUGCGUUGGCAUGAUGAAGCUCCAGCGAAGAAUUCUUUUGAAGGCGAUCACGGUGGUACACGCAAGCCGGACGACCAAAAGGUCGUUUUUUACUGUUAAAAACCACGUACUACGUCAUAUUUUAUUGCACACAUGUGUGAAGACCUUUCAACCUAUACAACUUUUCGACAAAACACAGAAAGAAUCAUGAAAAUAUCUUUACCAUCUGGUUUUGAUAAAAGUAAAAUUUUGAAAAAAGCCGUCACCAUUACACAUGAAAUCCGACAGCCUUUGUUACGCAAUAUACAUUAUUUUAAGAGAAAUUUCUAUACUUUCCAACGAUUUAUACUAUUAAACAUUUCCUUACUCGAAA
rnacentral:sRNA from 1 species